AUCACCUCUCUGCCUUUUUGUUAAGAUCAUGUGGAGUGUCUGUUCUUGUCAGUUUUAAUAUCUGAUAGUCCCUGAAUUAGGGAGUAAAUGUUAAUCUGAUUUUCUCAGGAGGUCUUUCGAUCAGGAGUUUGCUCCAGCAACUUCGUACAUCGUCCUGGUAUUGCAGUGUGUUUGGGAAUGAUGCACGCCUC